CGUAGGUGGCAAGCGUUGUCCGGGAUUUUACUGGGGCGUAAAGGGGAGCGUAGGUGGAUAUUUAAGUGGGGAUGUGAAAUACUCGGGCUUAACUUGAGUGCUGCAUUCCAAACUGGAUAUCUAGAGUGCAGGAGAGGAAAGUAGAAUUCCUAGUGUAGCGGUGAAAUGCGUAGAGAUUAGGAAGAAUACCAGUGGCGAAGGCGACUUUUCUGGACUGUAACUGACACUGAGGCUCGAAAGCGUGGGGAGCAAACAGGAUU
rnacentral:rRNA from 1 species